UACGAAGGGGACUAGCGUUGUUCGGAAUCACUGGGCGUAAAGCGCACGUAGGCGGAUAUGUCAGUCAGGGGUGAAAUCCCGGGGCUCAACCUCGGAACUGCCUUUGAUACAGCAUGUCUUGAGUCCGAUAGAGGUGGGUGGAAUUCCUAGUGUAGAGGUGAAAUUCGUAGAUAUUAGGAAGAACACCGGUGGCGAAGGCGGCCCACUGGAUCGGUACUGACGCUGAGGAGCGAAAGCGUGGGGAGCGAACAGG
rnacentral:rRNA from 1 species